rnacentral:rRNA from 1 species
GGAGCUUGCUCCCUGAUGUUAGCGGCGGACGGGUGAGUAACACGUGGGUAACCUGCCUGUAAGACUGGGAUAACUCCGGGAAACCGGGGCUAAUACCGGAUGGUUGUUUGAACCGCAUGGUUCAAACAUAAAAGGUGGCUUCGGCUACCACUUACAGAUGGACCCGCGGCGCAUUAGCUAGUUGGUGAGGUAACGGCUCACCAAGGCAACGAUGCGUAGCCGACCUGAGAGGGUGAUCGGCCACACUGGGACUGAGACACGGCCCAGACUCCUACGGGAGGCAGCAGUAGGGAAUCUUCCGCAAUGGACGAAAGUCUGACGGAGCAACGCCGCGUGAGUGAUGAAGGUUUUCGGAUCGUAAAGCUCUGUUGUUAGGGAAGAACAAGUACCGUUCGAAUAGGGCGGUACCUUGACGGUACCUAACCAGAAAGCCACGGCUAACUACGUGCCAGCAGCCGCGGUAAUACGUAGGUGGCAAGCGUUGUCCGGAAUUAUUGGGCGUAAAGGGCUCGCAGGCGGUUUCUUAAGUCUGAUGUGAAAGCCCCCGGCUCAACCGGGGAGGGUCAUUGGAAACUGGGGAACUUGAGUGCAGAAGAGGAGAGUGGAAUUCCACGUGUAGCGGUGAAAUGCGUAGAGAUGUGGAGGAACACCAGUGGCGAAGGCGACUCUCUGGUCUGUAGUAA